CAGGUCUACAAGGGAGAAUUUCUAUACAUGCAGCCUGAAAAUUACAUAUCGCUGGCAACAUUUAAAUGUGAAAAUACCCUCAUGCAGAGACAGCAACCUAAGCUUAAGCUCAGUACGUGCAUGAGAUUGCCCACUGGGAUCCUUAAAAUCUUACAAGAAAUAGACUUGGAAUCUGUACACCAUGUCACCAGGCGAUGAAUUGAAAGACAUUCCAUAACGCCAAUACUAUGGGGAGUAUAUUAGUAAAAGGAGAGACCUAGAGGCUGGGACUCCAGUGCAUGAUGUGCUUCAAAAGUCCAGGCAAGAGCUAACAGACUAUCCUUUUGCAGAGGGAAAAAAAAUGUGUCUAGAGAAGAGAGCGGAGCAGAGAACAGAGCUCUUAACUCAACUAUUUAAGCAGCUCAACAAGCAACUGUA